rnacentral:rRNA from 1 species
AAUCAACGCUGGCGGCGUGCCUAACACAUGCAAGUCGAACGAGAAAGGGGAGCAAUCCCUGAGUAAAGUGGCGACCGGGUGAGUAACACGUGACUAACCUACCUUCGAGUGGGGGAUAACCUCGGGAAACCGGGGCUAAUACCGCAUAAUGCCUUCGGGUUAAAGGAGCAAUUCGCUUGAAGAGGGGGUCGCGGCCGAUUAGGUAGUUGGCGGGGUAACGGCCCACCAAGCCCGUGAUCGGUAGCCGGCCUGAGAGGGCGCACGGCCACA